UUCCAACGAAAAAUGAAAGAAAAAAGGAGUGGAGAACGCAGCUUUUGUGUAAAGUAAAAAGAUGCGAUAGGAGUUUCAACGCAGAGAGGGCCUACAUCUGCGCAAGGCAUUUUGAUCAACAUUGCUUUAGGAUCGGAAAGACUGGAAGAAAAGACCUCCUUGUUGGAAGUUUGCCUACACAGUUCUUACAUAAAAGAAGUCAUGAAAAUAACCAAGGGAAACAAAGGCAUGAGCUUGAAAGACUUUUUCAAGAUGUGCCCUUACCAGUGCUUUACAAAUGAAGAGGUUUCACAGAUUUCAAAAAGAGCAUUGGCAAAAUAAAACAGCCCUGGGUCAUUUUACAUAGCUCUGAUGAGACUGUACCCUUAGGUCUUGCUGACAAAACUGGUAAUAUUCGGAACAAAGUUUCUGUGGACCCCUUUUCGAAUGAUACAAAUUUUGUUCUCUCUGAGAAAUCCUCUGAAGAAAAGAAAGAGAUGUAGCUUUCCUCUUAUUUGGAAAGCGAGGAAAGUGUUUCAAUGCUUCAGUAAUAGAGGGGGCUAGUAAUAAAAACUAGAAUACCAGCAAUUUUGGCAUAACGAGUUUUGUAUAUUGUUAAAAAGACCAGAAAAUGAAUAUUUCUCUAUUAGAAUUAUUUUUGUAAUAUUAGCUAUAUUUCAAGCUGUUUAGUUCAUAUUUCAUCCAUAUUCAAUUGUUGAAGUAUUUUAAGAAAUAUUAACUUUUGCCUGAUAGCUGAGCAUUUCAAGUGGG